CGUGGCUCUGCUUUUUGAUGCAAAGGUGAAAGGCAGGCACAUGGGCCUGGGGAGAGAAGCUGGUCAAGGGGAAUGGGCAGGGCCUAGCAGAACCUGGCUGUCCAGACAAAUGAAAUCAAUUUAAAAAAAGAAGAAAGAGUUGUAGUACCUUCUAGGAGAAGACUAGAAGCUGCUUUCCAUCUCACCUCUGCAGGGACAUUUCAGUGUUGGUCCCGAGAACACCCCAGUAAAUCAUGUGCAUGCAGACAUCUGUCUCAGAUUAGAGCCCAUUCCCAGGAAUCUGAUCUAUGAGCAGACACAUGAGAAUAGACAUUUAUCCUGAGAACGGGAAGCUGGUACGAAUAGGAGAAGAUUUCAGGCUCUGUGUGGGACAGGAAAGAACCAGCCCUCAGGAACCUUCCUCCAGAAAGGGCAUUUGCCAGUGCAGCCUUGCUGGGUUCCCUCUGUCUUCCCCAGCUUUCCUGCCCUGGGGCUCCAUGGACUCCUGGAGGCUUGUGCGCAGCCCCCCAGGAAGACAGGGUAAUGGAAUCCUUCUGCAGAGUUGAGAAGAUUAGGAAUUCUAUAGGGAGAAUGAAGCCUGGCUGGAGAAAGCGAGUUGCCCACAUGGACAAGGGCACAUCAGGAGUGGACCCAGGGUAAGGAGGAAGUGACUUGACAUCUUGAGCUCGGAUCUUUUGCCUGUAAAAUGUGGGUUGGGUACGAUCCAGGUCCUGCUGAG
rnacentral:lncRNA from 1 species